CCUACGGGUGGCAGCAGUGGGGAAUAUUGCACAAUGGGCGAAAGCCUGAUCCAGCAACGCCGCGUGAGCGAUGAAGGCCUUCGGGACGUAAAGCUCUGUCCUCAAGGAAGAUAAUGACGGUACUUGAGGAGGAAUCCCUGUCUAACUACGUGCCAGCAGCCGCGGUAAUACGUAGGGGGCUAGCGUUAUCCGGAAUUACUGGGCGUUAAGGGUGCGUAGGUGGUUUCUUAAGUCAGAGGUGAAAUGCUACGGCUCAACCGUAGUAAGCCUUUGAAACUGGGGAACUGGAGUGCGGGAGAGGAGAGUGGAACUCGCAGUGUAGCGGUGAAAUGCGUAGAUAUUAGGAGGAACACCAGUUGCGAAGGCGG
rnacentral:rRNA from 1 species